rnacentral:misc_RNA from 1 species
CAGGGUCAAAUGGGAUAAAGGGAGGAAAAAGAGCGGAGACUGCACGCUUGAAAAAUACCGCCGCCAUUAUUAUACAUACGAUAAGCUUACUGUCGGGCUACAUCUACCAAGAAUAGAAAGAAAUUUUCUGUGUACAGUAAAUCGAUCGCUUCGGUCUGCGUCAUCGAGAGACCAUGUUGUGCGGAACAUUUAAUAAAAACAAACGUAGACACACCGGAGAAGAGUAUCGACUGGUCAAGACGUUAUCCUUGCAUCAGCCAAAAAUCGCUCCAUUGAAAGAAAUCACGGGAAACGGCGCUCGCAGGAACAGGGCGAAGACCGUUGUCAUCAAAGAUCUCUUGCAAUCGGGCCUCGAGAACGUCAGCUCGGCAACGCUAAGACCAUUCAACUCGGACAUCAACACUCCGAGAAUCGAUAGCUACAGAUUUUCCAUGGCCAAUCUGGAAGAUUCUCAAGAUGUUGAUCUGGAUGCCAUCCUUGGUGAGUUGUGUGCUUUGGAGCGACGCUGUGACGGUGAUAUCGCGGCAACUCCAGCCCCGGACUCUCAGAGGCAAGGAAGACCGAACAAUACGAGAAUCAACCCUACAGACAGCACGGAUAUUAGUAAAAAUGAUGGAGGAAUGCGCACGGACAGUCCUGACAAUGACAGCGCCUUCUCAGACACGGUAUCGAUGCUGUCCAGCGAGAGUUCGGCCAGCAGCAGUGGCUCCGGACACAAACCACCUCAGAACAAUAUGCACACCGUUCCGCAACAGCAACCGCAUCACCUUAUGGACGCCGCAGGCAGGGCAAAGGCUGAAAAAAUUCGUCUCGCACUGGAAAAGAUCCGAGAGGCAAGCGUGCAGAAACUUUUCAUCAAAGCCUUCACGCUCGACGGCAGUGGUAAGAGCCUUUUGGUCGAUGAGGGAAUGAGCGUUGCACAUGUAUGCAGGCUCUUGGCAGACAAAAAUCACGUACCGAUGGACCCCAAAUGGGCAGUGGUGGAGCAUCUCCCUGAUCUUUUCAUGGAAAGGGUAUACGAAGACCACGAGCUAUUGGUAGAAAACCUGCUCCUAUGGACGAGGGACUCCAAAAAUAAGUUACUCUUCGUGGAACGUCCCGACAAAACGCAGUUGUUUCUCUCAGCAGAGAAAUUCCUUCUUGGGCCAUCAGACAGAAGUAACGCAGAAUACGACGAUCACUCGCGAAAUAUUCUAUUGGAGGAGUUCUUCUCCAGCAGUAACGCGGGAGUGCCUGAGAUCGAAGGUCCACUGUAUUUGAAAUCGGACAGUAAAAAGGGCUGGAAAAGGUAUCACUUUAUCUUGCGAGCAUCUGGUCUUUAUUAUUGGCCGAAGGAGAAGGCGAGAAGCGCUCGGGACCUUGUGUGCCUGGCAACGUUUGACGUCAACCAAGUGUAUUACGGUAUUAGUUGGAAGAAGAAAUACAAAGCCCCGACUGACUUCUGCUUUGCCGUGAAACACCCGAGGCUUCAGCAGCCAAAAUCUACCAAGUACAUAAAGUUCUUGUGCGCGGAAGACAGUGCGGCUCUGGAGAGGUGGAUGGUCGGCAUACGAAUAGCAAAAUAUGGCAGACAACUUAUGGAGAACUACAGAACUCUCGUAGACGAAUUGGCACAGGAAGAUCUCGACCUGUUGGCCCACGCCAGGUCUUGCUCGGUCAGUUCGAUAGCAACACCCCCAAAUCAAACUCAGUACAAUACGACAAACGACAACGCAAGGCAGUUCACAGAGAAUUCAAGAAACGUGGUAAGCGAAGGUAGGCUCAGUAGAGCUAGCAGCUCUAGUUCCUCUGGCUGUAUGUCCGACGGAGCUUCAAGCAGUUGUGAGGUGGCUUUUGAGUGUGGGGAAUUCCCAACGGGCACGAUUAAACGGAAACCUUCAAUGAAUCCGAAGCUACCGCUUACCUCGAUAACGCGCCAACUCAAGGAAGUCGGAGAAACGGUACGUGAUGAACCGGAUAGCUGUCCAAGCCCUACCAGUUCGGGGUCAGGCACUUUAACAAGAAGGCAUAGCAGGCGGAGAAGCGGGACUGACUCCGAUGGGUCUGGGACUCUGAAAAGACAUCACAGAUCGGGAAAUGCGACUCCCGUCAGUCCCGUACCUCCGGGGACUCCGGUCAGAGAAAGAGCUAGUCCUAUUACCUACUCUAGGACGGAAAGCAUCGAAUCCAAGACUCCGACUAGCCCAAUACAACAAUGCAUGAUGGAUUCGAUAACGUCUCUGCCACCGCCACCCUCACCGUCCAGAGGAACUGACGAGGCGGAAUCUGACGGUGAACCCCUGCCUCCUCCACCCCCGGAGAUGUUCCGGUCAAACCUCUCUCUGGAUAGUCUCCCGCCACCUCCCGCCCCUGGAGAACUUCCAACUUGCCAUAGCCCGGACCUGACCGGCUCUUCCUUGAGUCUCGCGUCUCUUCCGCCACCACCGAGCCCCCUGGUCGGUGAAACUGGGACCAUAAGACGGGCAAGGCCGAAGCAGUCAACGCCUACGAACUCACUAUCACCGGAUGGAACACCGACACGCUCGCUCGAAGUGGUAAACCAGAUUUACGCGACGGCGAACAAUAAUGGGCAGAUUUACUCCGAGAGCCUGACAUCCCAUGGUGGCAAUGGGACGAGUAGUUCGAACGGUUCCAACUGCUCAACGCCCACCAACUCCUACCCGUCGAGCAUUACUCCCAUGUCGCCUGCCUCCUCGGGGAUGUCCGGUAGCCCAUGCUUCGCGGCGGUCCCACCACCCUUUGUUCCACCCCCGGCAUAUGGCACUCAGCACAACUCUCUGCCGGGUAGACAAAACUCUAAAACGGAGUCGAUAUACGGCGGAUCUCUUCAGCACGGCAGCCAGCCCAUAAGGCCCAACCCUAACAUGGACACGGUGCGGCGUAGCGCGUUGAAGCAGGGCAGCAGCCACUACGCAGCGCCUCCGUACCUCGCCGAGCUCAAGGCAGCUGCUAGCCCCCAACCACAGAGGAGGGUAACCAUACAGGAGCCCCCAACAUCGCCAAAGGCUAAGACCGGUACCGGGAAAAAGAUCACGUUCAAUUUACCACCGCAACAGGAUCAAGGAAGUCCGGCGUUGCCGCAGAGGAAACCCAUGCCUCCCAGGAGGUCGAACAGCACGAAGCUCACGUCACCGAAAAAGUUAGCUGCCUCCGACCAGGCGCCGCCCAGAGAUUUCUUGAAGGAUUUGCAGAGGGUGAUGCGUAAGAAGUGGCAGGUUGCCCAAAAGUGCAAACUCGACACGACGACGACUCCUCACGAGGUACUUGGCUUCCGGGAUCCUCCGCCAGCCAUCGCCGACUACAGGGAAACCAACGUCUCUAACUGGGUUCAGGAGCACUACGGUGCUUACAAUCUUUACGAAAACGUUUAUGCUACGGACCCCAACGCCCCCGUAGAAUACGCGAGCAGUCCGACGAAAACUACAGCGAGCGUCAGGUUUGCGGACGAGAACCGCACGAACAACAUCGCCAACGCCAUUGCUGGGAAACGAAGGCCACCACCCCCACCCCCGAAGAGGGCCGACACAACUCACCUCACUACGAGAGCCAUGCACUGACAAUAGCCUACGAUCAAAUCUCGCUUCGAGGAAAACGUCUCACCGGAGAGACGCCGAUGCGGGUGGACCUGCUGCCUCUGCACCUGGUGGAAGCAUUGAAUAGGUUUGCUGAGCCGUAGUCUUCUUCUGAGAUCCAGGGUAAAGGAGAAAAAUUAUGGUUUUAACAUUGUCACGAGUUUAAGAGUGAAAUUAUGCUGGUGAGCUUAUUAUGGAGUAGGAUAUAUGUUAUUUCAUAGAGGAAUGAACACGCUACACAUGCAAGCACAUACAUGCGAGUAUGUACAAUAUCUUUUACAAUCCACUAUCUUAUAGCCCAUAGUCUACAAUUAACACACAACGUGAACAUAAGAUUGUAUAAAAUUAGGUGAUUAUUCGUGACGUGUGAUCUAAGUUUCUACAGGUAUACACACUGUAUGUAACAUCAUGCAGAUUUGCUGUUGCAUUCGAUGUUUAAAAACGUGACAACAUACCGGAAUAAGUGCAGCAUUUGGUCACGGAACCUUUUCUUAUAACCACAGAGAUCUCGCUUAUGCCAUUUUUUGAUAAGUAUCUACACACGCACGCACAAUAUACAUUUAUACAUAUACGUACGCAUACUCGUGCAUCAAAACUGAAAUGAGUCACUUACUUGUUCAUACGUAAGCUGCUGUAAUGCUGAUAAACAAAUAUGAUAUAAGUCCCACCGUAAAUACCUACCUGUCCAUACAUUGCAGACUUUUUAGGGUACCCAUGAUGGAUAAACCAGGUGGCUUUUCUUUAUCUGUUCACGCCGAACCAAAUAUGGAAUGAGAUGAAAAAUUAUACUUUCUCCUAAUAGAUUCGCGUGGUUAAAAGCGGAUAAGGGAAAGACCGAUGUUUUUUAUUCAAUGUAAUGUAUCGUAAGGGAGAGGGGGAUAAUGAAAAUUACCAUGCAGACGAUGUUAUUCAUUUGAAUAGAAUUUUCCAGUAUCGCAAAGGAAGGGAAUAAUUUAUACCAAUGUUUCAUUCGAUUCCGUUAUUCAGUUUCGAAUUAAUAAUUUUGCUGAUUCUUUGCAUCCGAACACUGGACAAUUAAAAUAAAUGCCAAAAACUAACCCUGCCCUGCACAGCGAUUAUGCCUCCGUUCUCCCUUAACUUUAUAUUAUACACAUAUUUCAUAUGCAUAUUGUGUAAUACGCGCAUCCUAUGAAUAUGAAUUUAUACAUGCGUGUUUUAUUGACAUUGAAGAUUUUUUAUGAUUAGUUUAUACAUUUGUAAUUCUAACAUUGUAAGUACGUAUGUUCUGUUAAAUGUGUCCCGAAUUUUGUUGGGCAAUAAUCAUAAUAUCUGACUAUAAAGUUUCAGCGAUCUCGUACCGAGCUAUUGCAUCUAUAUUGCGAUAAAAAAGGAAUGAACUAAAAUCGUUGGAAUAUUUCUCUGGAUGAAUACAUAAUUGUAAACAACGAUAUUGAUCGUUAUUCAGAGUGUAUCGAAAUGAUGUAUAGCAAGAUAAAUUCUUCCAAGGUUGACGAAAUUUAAUUUACUCUUGUUAUUUUUAAUUCUCGCGUUUUCUUAUUAAAACUACUGAGACGGCUUGCAAAAGCCUAAAUAAAUACCUACUUUACGGCUAAAGUACUUUUCGCGCCUUGAUCCAAUUGAGAUUGAAUACGAUUGCGUAUUAGAUUGCUUAGAGUGUGGCGAGGAUGGUGGCAAUCAUACGAAUUUAUUAUUUCUCAAUUUUCGGAAUAAUCUCCAUAGUAAUGUAACAAUAAAGGUUUGAUAAUCGUUACUCUGCGCAGCCGCACAAGAAGACGCAUGCCUUUGGCAUGGCGUAUAGAAAUAAUUACUUCAACCAUCAAGUAACACGAAGACUACAAAAUAAUUAGGAAUAUGCAAAAAACGAGAGCACCUAAAAUCAUAAAAAUGAUAAUAAUAUUAUAAAUAGUGAAAAAGUAAAAAUUAACUUUAUUUACUAAUGACUACGCUGUAAUGUCAUAUUAUUAUAUCCCUGCGGAUAUCUUUUCAUUAAUUCACUGAACUCCCGGUACUUUGAUAAUACAAUUUUCUAUGAAGAUCACUUGUGCAUAUUGCAAUUUCCUAACUUGUAAUUAGCGAAUAUCGUAAUGAGCCACGGAUUGAAUUAUACUCUGAGUUAUCUUGGAAUAAAUUGGUGAAAAGUUUCCUCUAGGCAGAACUUUAAGCCAAUUUUAAUCCCGUUUUUCUUUGAUUGAAUUUACUUGAGUGAUUGUCAGCAGCUGUCUUAAGAUUUACUUCGGAUAUGGAGUAUUUUUUUAUAUGUAAUUUUUUUGACACGUUCAGGUGAUCGGCUUUGUAGGGUGGAACUCGCAAUUACCGUAAUGCGUGUUUAAGGAAUAAAAUCGUUUUCAUACCGCCUAGAAAAAAUGUUUCCUAACGUUUAGAUAAAUUAUUGAAAUAUUGAAAAUGAAUAGUGAAUUAAGAAUUUAAAUCAAUUGUUCUUCGACGAGCAUAUAUAUAUAGUGCAAUUGGCAAAAUUAUAUUCAAUUUUGAAUUAUGGUAUAGUUAUAGUGAAAUAUUUUAAUGUGUCACGUAUAUUUCAACCAUUAAUUUUUAAGUUGUACGUAUGGUUUUUGUAAAUAUUGUAACGAAUGGUACUAUGAAAAAAGUUAUAAUUGAAGAUAUUACGAUUAAUUAAUAUAAACGUAUGCUAUUUAUGAAUGGGAAACGUGGGUAUAUUUUCAAAAAUACCGUUUGUCACAAUUUAAAUAUGUUUUGUGAUCUCUUAUCAUUCGAUGACUAUAUUAUGUGAAUUGAUUUUAUACCUUAUUAAAAUGAAUGAACAACGGAA